rnacentral:rRNA from 1 species
CCUACGGGGGGCAGCAGUCGAGAAUUAUUCACAAUGGGGGAAACCCUGAUGGUGCGACGCCGCGUGGGGGAAUGAAGGUCUUCGGAUUGUAAACCCCUGUCAUGUGGGAGCAAAUUAUAAAGAUAGUACCACAAGAGGAAGAGACUGCUAACUCUGUGCCAGCAGCCGCGGUAAUACAGAGGUCUCAAGCGUUGUUCGGAAUCACUGGGCGUAAAGCGUGCGUAGGCUGUUUCGUAAGUCGGGUGUGAAAGGCGCGGGCUCAACCCGCGGACGGCACAUGAGACUGGGAGACUAGAGUAAUGGAGGGGGGACCGGAAUUCUCCGUGUAGCAGUGAAAUGCGUAGAUAUCUGGAGGAACACCCGUGGCGAAGGCAGGUUCCUGGACAUUAACUGACGCUGAGGCACGAAGGCCAGGGGAGCGAAAAGGAUUAGAUACCCUUGUAGUC